AUACGUAGGGGGCGAGCGUUGUCCGGAAUGAUUGGGCGUAAAGGGCGCGUAGGCGGCCUGUUAAGUCUGGAGUGAAAGUCCUGUUUUCAAGAUGGGAAUUGCUUUGGAUACUGAUGGGCUUGAGUGCAGGAGAGGUUAUCGGAAUUCCCGGUGUAGCGGUGAAAUGCGUAGAGAUCGGGAGGAACACCAGUGGCGAAGGCGGGUAACUGGACUGCAACUGACGCUGAGGCGCGAAAGUGUGGGGAGCAAACAGGAUUAGAUACCCUGGUAGUCCACACUGUAAACGAUGAAUGCUAGGUGUAAGAGGUAUCGACCCCUUUUGUGCCGGAGUUAACACAAUAAGCAUUCCGCCUGGGGAGUACGGCCGCAAGGUUGAAACUCAAAGGAAUUGACGGGG
rnacentral:rRNA from 1 species